UUGGAGGGCAAGUCUGGUGCCAGCAGCCGCGCUAAUUCCAGCUCCAAUAGCGUAUAUUAAAGUUGUUGCAGUUAAAAAGCUCGUAGUUGAAUUUCGGGAUCGAAUUGUUGGUCGUGCCUCGGUACGCACUGGCAUUAUCGGUUCCUACCUUCUGAAGAACCGCGAUGUCAUUAAUUUGGUGUCGUGGGGAAUCAGGACUGUUACUUUGAAAAAAUUAGAGUGUUUAAAGCAGGCUUACGCUUGAAUACAUUAGCAUGGAAUAAUGAAAUAGGACGUUUGAUUCUAUUUUGUUGGUUUCUAGGAUCGACGUAAUGAUUAAUAGGGAUAGUUGGGGGCAUUAGUAUUCAAUUGUCAGAGGUGAAAUUCUUGGAUUUAUUGAAGACUAACUGCUGCGAAAGCAUUUGCCAAGGAUGUUUUCAUUAAUCAAGAACGAAAGUUAGGGGAUCGAAGACGAUCAGACACCGUCGUAGUCUUAACCAUAAACUAUGCCGACUAGGGAUCGGAUGAUGUUAAUUUUUUAAUGACUCAUUCGGCGCCUUACGGGAAAC
rnacentral:rRNA from 1 species